CCCACAUCAUGCUAAUUUAAUCAGACCAUCUUAUUACAUUUUAAUCAAAUGUCCAACAAAAGAAACAGAAUCAAUACUUAAAAUGUCACAACCCAAUUUCCAAACCCGAUCGUGAUGGCAUCUCUCGUGAAUACAAGGCCAGCCAAUUCACCCUAAUCGUUCUUUUAACAAUUAUUAAACAUGAAUGACUUCUUAUUAUGAUUUAAAAACAACAAGUAGCGGAAAUACAACCCAAAUCGGGAUGUCACUAGUCACGAGCAUCUAUAGAAUCCUAGCACUAUUAUAGACCAGUAGUAUACAUAUUGGAAUUCAAUAACAACGGAAGGAAUACGGUGCCGUGAACGAUGACGGUCCCCUGGCAUAGCUACGAUAGCAAGAUCUCCAGUCGGCUCGAAACCCGCUACCGGGUGAACAAUUACCUGCAUCUGCACAUGAGGAGCAGGGAAUAAAGUGAGUACUCCAACUCAGUGAGUAAUAAGGGUAAAUAAUAGUUGAGCAGCAAUAAACCACGUAAAGCAAAUCAACAUGCUAUAUAGUACAGUGUAACUCUUUGAGAAAACAGAGAAAACGUGAAAAUCCUAUAGAAAAUACCUUGACUUAAUUCAAAACCUCUUUUGAAACUAUCUUUUUCCAACAGUUAAGCAAUUGAAUGCGGAACAGGUAGUCCAAAUCAACACAAAAGUCAUCCCCCCGGGCACAAACAAGUAUGCAUAAUUGAGUUCAUAAAAAUGCGGAACAGGUGGUGCAAGUCAGCAUAAAAGUCAACCCCUCAGGCAAAAACAAGUAUGCAUAAUUUAGCUCAUAAACUUGCCAUUCAGGCAAUAAUCUUGUUCCUGGUCAGUCAUUGUUAUCUGUGCCGUUUACAUCAUCCAGUGUCACUGUUACCGCUAUCUCAAAUUUAUCCUCUUUAAAAAUGAUCAGACAUUAUCAAAACAACAAAUAAAUAUCUCAAGAAAUAACAGAAAACAACGAGUAGUGCACAAAUAUAUGAAUACAAUGCAUAUGACGGAACACUCCGGUACCACUGCGGAAUGCAGUCCGAUCCAUUUAACGACGACGAUACUCACUAGGGGUGUGUAUAGACUCCUGAGGGGCUCCUAUAGCCCAAACGCAAUAUCAGCCAUGUCGUGGCAUCAAACACGCUCUCGGCCUCAAUAUCAAUAUAUCAUCGUUACGAUGUGCAGCCCGAUCCAUGUCAACAGAAACAUCCUCAUUAUAGGGUCCUCGUCCCAUCUCAGUCAAAUAAGUAUAUCAUCGUUGCGGCGUGCAUCCCGAGCCAUUCAUAUAUUUAGAAAUUACUAUAACCCUAUCGCGGUAUGCAGCCCGAUCCAUGCUCAGUCUAGAAAUGCACAUAAGCCACUUUGGCAAUAUUAACAUGAUAAUCCUCAGCGCAAAACAUCAAUAAAAUAUUGUUUGAAUUUUCAAAUCUGAGAAAAAUGGCUGAGUUUACAAAGCGGUAUUAAAAUCUUGAACCAAGAUCAAAUAAUAUGCAAGUAAUGCAAAAACAGUAAUAUAAAUCCCCGAAGGGUUCAUAUAGUUGGCCUAAAGCCCCAAACAUGAUAAUCAGCCCAAAUUAUAAUGAUAACAAAUAAUUUCAGUCAAAUACAUGAUAAAAAUCAACAAUCGGGACAGACCAAGUCCCAGUCCCCAACGGUACUUUACCCCGCGCCCAUAUCCGGCGUGCAAGUCACCUCAAUACAACACUAUGAUGUGCAAAUUCGGGGUUUCAAACCCUCAAAAUAUCAUUUAUAAGUAUUACUCACCUCGAACCGGUAAAAUCUCUAGCCCGCGACGCCUCUGCCCCUCAAAUCGGCCUCCACGCGCGUCGAAUCUAACUGCAUACAUCACAAUAUGCUAAGGGAACAAUACCCUAUCAAAAACAAUCGUGAAAUAGCAAAAAUCUCGAAACUAGCAAAACCCGAGCCUCGGGCCUACUUCUCGAAAAUUACGAAACUCACAUUACCGGAUUCCUCGUCUUGCCACGAGUCCAUACAUACCAAUAACUCCCAAAUCCAAGCUCGAAUGACCUAUCAAAUCCCAAUUUGGAAUAUCAAAAAGUCAAGGCCUAGUUCAUAAAUUUUAGGCUCAUUUUCCAUAAAUCUCUAUACCAAUUUCACAAUAUAAUCAUGUUUUUAGUUCGUAGAACUUACUUCCAGUCAAUCCCUUCGAAACCCUCUUCAAUUGCUCCCAAAAAGCUCUCAAGGUGCUCAAAAAUGGAGGAAAAUAGCCCGCAAGUCGCAGAUGAAAUGUCAUUUUGAACCCCUUCUGCGAACAGUCAUUCUUCGCUUCUGCGGUCCCGCUACCGCUUAUGCGGGACCGCUUCUGCGACCAUAACUCCGCUUAUGUGGUUUCUCAUUAAAACCCCAUCAACCGCUUCUGCAAAAAUCAUUUCUGCUUCUGCGGAUUCAUCAUCUCCAGGCCAAACCGCUUCUGCGACCUCACGUCCGCUUCUGCUGACUUGCUUAGGCGAAAAGAGUUCCGCUUCUGCGGAACUACCCAGCUCCACAUCAGACCGCUUAUGAGAGCAAUCACUCACUUUCAUGGAGCCGCUUCUGCGGUCCAUUUUCGCAGAAGCGCUCAUACUAGAUACCAGCAAGAUCUGCCACUUCUCAACUUGAGAUUUCAUCCCGAUAGCCAUCCGAAAUUACCCCGAGGCCCCCGGGACCUCGCCAAAAAAAGCCAGCACAUCCUAAGACCCCAUUCAAACUUUAUCAAAUCCUCAAAACACGUCAAACAGUUCUAAAACCAUUAAAUCACAUCAGAUUCAAGCCUAAGUUUCUUCCAAACAUCCGAAAUACGCAUUCGAUCAAAACCCGACCAAAUUAUGUCUGAAUGACCUGAAAAUUUGCACACAUAUCCAAAAUAACCCAACGAAGCUACAACAACUCUCAGAAUUCUAUUCUGACCCUCGGAUCAAAAUCUCACCCAUCAACUGGAAUUUGCCAAAAUACUAAUUCCAACAAUUCAAGUCUAAUUCUACACCGGACCUCCAAAAUCAAUUCCGAUGGCACUCUUAGUCACAAAUCACCUCCCUAAGCUAACCGAAUAACCAAAAAUUACAUUUGAGACCUAUAACUCAUAAGCCAACGUCUCGUUAACUUUUCCAACUUAAGCCUUCCUUAAAGAGAUUAAGUAUCUCAUUUUUUAUCGAAAUCAAUCCAAAUCAACUCUAACGCGCCACAUACCAAUAACGAACAUGAAGAAGCAUAAAAUGGGAAAAUGGAGUAGUAAUACAUGAGACAACGGGUCGGAUCGUAUUAAAAAAUAACUAAAAUCUUCAACAGAAAUUACACAAUUGCUUUCAUUAGAGCUUCAAAUCAAUUUUACACUCCUGGGAGUUCAGAAGUUGUACCUGGAAAGUAGAAGAAGCAAAGUGAAGCAGGCCGGCAGUAGAGAAACAACAACAGUAAAUUUAGCCCAGGAAGUGAUUGAAAAUAUCACAUGAAUCUAAUUUUGGAAUUUAUGGAUGUCACACGAAGCUCAAAACCAAAGUUUCGACAAGAAUACCCCAAAUACACACCUCAGCUCAUUUAAUUGCCCACAACUUGUCAUAAACGAAUAUUACAUAAAAUUUCAGAGAUUCUUUAUGAACAGUAGUAAUUUUGUAUUCCUAUGCUCAAAAUUUUAGAUGAAACAGUAUUUUUGACAAAUUUUCUUCUUGAUUUUUUAGCUCUUAAACUUGCCCUCUAAGGCAAGAAAUGAUGCCUUUUAUAGGCAAGUAACUAGAACAGCCCUUGCAAGUUUUAUUUUGUACUUUAGUCCAUUUUUUAAUCUCAAAAGUCCCUUAUUUAUUAACUUGCUACCCAAGUCACACCACUAUGAAUCUGAAAUUUCAAUGAAAACCCUUUCUUGGUGCUUCUAGUAACUUCUAAUUUAAGUUACUAAAGAUUCCCUAAAUUGAAUUCCCUAGAUUACCCUUUCCAAUUCUGAAAAAUAACAUGUUAAACCAAACCAGCCCCCCUCUUACCCUAGUAACUGGUCAAGAAUAACCAUGGUUAAACAAGAUUUAAUCCUAUUCAGCUAUAACCAAAAGAUCCUAAAAAUUAAACUGAUUAAACAAUCAUGAAAUUAAAUAUAAGGAUCAGUAGACCAACAAUUAGGCGAUUCAAACAAAAAUCAGAUUAUCAACAGUGGUCAUGAAUCAUUUAAUUAUAACCAAACACAAAAUCAAACUAGAAAAGAAAAAAAAAUCAAAACAGAACAAAAUUAAACCAAAACUAUGAUGGAAAAAGAAUCAAUUACAACCCUAGAACUUCUAAAUCAAUUAAUCAUAGAGAACAUUAAUCAGGGAGAGAAUAACAUAUGCGAGGUAAAAAAAAUCAAAAGAAGAAGAAACUUACUGAUUUUUGGGCCUAAAAUUCGAAGAACACAAGCUCUAGUCGGCUGAUUUGAACCUUUGAAGCUCGAACUUAAAUUAAAAUUCUGGACAACUUUGAAGGAAAUCAGUAACAUAUGAGGCAUGAGGGAGGCACAAGGGUCAUACGGUGUUGUUUUGGAGCGAUUUAGAGGUGGCUCUACCACUGGAGCAACUGUGGCGACGCUAGCGUUUUACAAAUUUGAGGAACCCUAGUGGGAUUUGAGGGAGAAUGGUAAGGGAUUCAUAAUGAGUGAGGGGAGAGGGUGGUUUAGUGUUAAUUUGCCGAGGUUUGGAGAAUGUAGGGUUUUGGCCGGAAUUUUGAUUUGAAAUUCGAGACGAUGGGUCAGGUUUUGAGGGAAGGGGGUUGUGAAUUUGAAAUGAGGAGGAGAAGACGAUUCAGG
rnacentral:lncRNA from 1 species